UGGAGGAUGGCCGACAGUCAUGUGUUCCAUUGCUAUUGCUUUCAUGGUGCUUUCCAUGAUGUGUUCUACCUUCCCAUCCUGCCAUGCAGGCACUGGUAUGUGGCAUUUUAUACCCCUACUUUUUGUGAACUUUCCUAUUGUUCAAAUUAGUCAACACAUUGCUAAUAUAUCUUGUUUGAUCUGCGUGUACAUGUUGCAUUUGCAGAAUCUGUUCAUAAUGUGGUUUGUGAGACUCUCGAUCCUUGUAAUAGCCCGAGGUGUGAAGACAUGUGUCAUCGUAUAAUGCAACAUCGAUUCAGACACUAUUGCAAGACCCAUAAUGUUCAAAUUCCAAAUUGUUGUUGUAUAGAACAAUAAAAUAAUUGCUGGUUCUCUUGCUUGAGCCAUGCAAUGUUGAAUAGAUUGAUAUCAAUAAAGAUGUUUUUC
rnacentral:lncRNA from 1 species